rnacentral:lncRNA from 1 species
GCUUGAUACUCGGGACUGAGUAUGUAAACUAAACUAAUAUGACAAAUUGAUUAUCUGAAUUUGUUGGUGUGUUUAAUCUCAUUCUGGAGGGCCCUAUUUAUAGUAGUCCAGGGGUUUCCUUGAACUGACGUGACUGUUUGGCCAAACAGGAGGUCCGAACUGGCGUGUCUCUUCGGUCUUGAACCGUCGCCACGUGCCCUGUUUGGACAAACAGAUCCGAACCAUCGUGUCUCUUCGGUCCUCAACCGCUGCCACGUCGGUUUGGGCAAACAGGUGGUCCGAACCGUCGUGUCUCUUCGAUCCUUAACCGUCACCACGUGCAUUGUUUGGGCAAACAGGUGGUCCGAACCAUGGAUAUCUUUGGACAUUAAUUACUCAUUCAAUUCUUUACAGAUUUGAACAAGUAAAUAUAUCAAAUUAAUCUACUCAACAUGUAGAUUCCAAAAAUAUCAUUUAAGUCCAUAAAUUACCAAAGUAAUUAUGGUAUUAAAUAAACUAUUUAUUCCAACAAGGGCUUUGCCUCCGCCGCCGAUUUGGAGGCCUAGGCUUUUGAUGGGCGCCGCGGCUGAAAAUUGAAGCCUGGGUCGUCCGUCCGCGCCACCUACCUCUGCUUCUCUCUUCCUUCCUCGACCGCGACAGCUUUCCCUUCCUUCGAAAAUCGAAGGGCUUUUGGAGGCCUAGGGCUUUUGAUGGGCUUCUCUCUCUGAAAAUCGAAGGCUGAGUGGUUUUGCGAUUUGCGAUCGGAAGAAAUUGGGUGAUUCUUUACAGUGGGUGUUUGGUGGCGAUAGACAGAGAGACGAGGGUGGCUGAUGGCGGCGACUUCGCCGGAGGAGGGAGGCGGUGGAUGAGAGGUGGUGGUUUGCGAUUUUUGUGGUUUGCGGUUUUUGUGGUCUGCGAUUUUUGUGGUCUGGUUUGCGGUUUGGGGACGGCGGUUUGGGGACGGUCUGGUUUGCCGGCGACGGUGGUCGCCUAUGGAGAAUGGG